GCUCUGGAUGAACAGGAGAAAGAGAUCAGGUCAGUAUGGACUGGGCAAAAGGAACCAGUUUUUCUAGUUGCCUAGAGUAAAAAGGGCAACUUAAUUGAAUUUAACAUGAAUAUAAUUUAACAGAUGGUGACCUCUAAGAGAUCCAUGAGUGGAAAUGGUAGAAAGGCACAGUGGGUACCUGGAGGACUAGAAGUGUUGGCUGAGAAUGCUACGUGCAAAGACAAAGGGGUAGAAAAGAGUGUGCUGCAUCUGGAGAACAACUGAUGAUCCACGUGACUGUUUAUUAUGACAUAUCUGUGCAAAUGAUGGAGAAAUGCCCAGCAGUGCAGCAAAGCACAGUCCUGGCAAAUCUGACACACAUCAGAUGGCUGACUGAGGACGGCCAAGAGCGGGCCCUGUGGAAAGGACUCCAGUGGUAUGGAUGGCUGUUCUGCUGAGUGAGCACAGAAGAAUAAAGCCCACCAAGCUUACACCAUGAAGACUCAUCCGUUGUUCCAGAUCGUCUCUGCAUACGACUACUCAACCGGCAUCUGCACUGUGAAUGUACAGUACACGUUCUAAAAGAAGCAAGUACAAUUUUACUAAAUGUACUUUUAAAAAUAUCCUAACUGAAGUCCAAUUUGGUGUUUGGCCAGCUUAAACAACAACAAAAAAGAGAAAUGUAAAAAAAAAAAAUGAGCAUGGCUUUUAUUUUCGUUGGUUAUAUGACCACCUUCUCACUACAUACAUCAGUUAGCAGAGUCUGCUUUCAGCAGUGGAAAUUUCAUUAUCACAUCUAAUUCUGGUUUGGUAGCACAUUAAACUUUCAAACAGUUAAUGACUCUGGUUUUCUUUCUGUUCAGCUUUACCUUUCAUAAAAGUACCGGCAAGAGGCAAGGAACGACAGUAAGACUGAAUUAUGAACUUUAAAAAGUUGAGAACAAGUAAGUACUUGUACUGUGAAAGCCGCACUCGCUGCUCUUGAUUAGCUGUCUGCAGUAGGUCAGCAGUGAGCGCCUCGUGCUGCGGCGGUGGUGGUUGUCGCAGAUAAGCAGA
rnacentral:lncRNA from 1 species